ACUAGAGGCUCUUUAACUCAACCGGACAAACCACAGUUUCUCUCUCACCAAACCCAUCUGAACAUUUCAAAUUCAAGCUCCCUUUCUCACUCUCUUCUCCAAGGUUCUCUCUCGGCCCGCCGUCACGGUGCCCCGACUUUUUAACUUAGCUCCUCGCUCACCACACAGAUUGAAAUCCCUAACCCACGAACUCAGCUCCUUGCUCUCAUGGAUUCAAGCUCGAUCCCUCACCCACGAACUCAGCUCCUCGCUCAUCUCACACUGCGGGUUUCCUCUAUCUCUCACACGGCCUCUCACAUUCACACACACAACCCCGCCGGUGCCGACGAGCAGAGCCGAGCCUAGCGCCGACGUGCCGAGUCGAGCCCAGCCCAGCCCAGCGACGACACCAAUGAGGCUGAGCCCAGCCAUCGACUCCUCUCCUCCCAUACCCAUCGGCUCUCUCUACCGUCGACCCAUACCCAUCGGCUCACUCUCCCUCACCACAAGAUCCUUUCUCCCUCUCUCCCCUUGCCACCCCCAUACCCAUUCAUUUUUCCUCACCAUACCCAUACCCAUACCCAUUCCGAUUUUGCUUGUUUUGAUUUUAGCCCAGCAUCAUCAAAUUGCUCCGCUGGAACAGCCACUGCCUCGAUUGGCAUUUUUUGGAUAUUGCAUGUAGGUUUCAUCAAUCUUUGGUGUACUUUCUGCGUUAUUUUGAAUCAUCAAUUACUUGAGGGGAAAGACUGUCAAAGUGUCAGGUAUUUUAUGGGACUGCAUUUCAUGUGUUGUGAAACUUCAGAUUCUAGAGUUUUGAUAUCAAAAAGACUUAUAUAAUGAAGAGACAUCAUACCAGGAAAGGGUGGAGCAAGUUGAAUAUAAUGAGAAAAGUCAAAGUGAUCAAGCUGUGAGUCUUUGACUAAAAAUUGUAGACUAUGGCGGGAAUGUGUAGUCAAGAAGUAGGAGAUACUUGUAGUGCAAAAUUAUCAUUAUAUUAUGACCUUUGUAAUCAAGUGUAUAUAUCAAUAGAACUCUUGUUACAUA